rnacentral:snRNA from 1 species
ACACUUACUUGGUAGGGGAAAUAUCAUGAUUGCAAAGGUGAUUCUCUCAGGGCAAGUCUUGAUUGUACCCUGGAUAUGCCAACCCCUGUGACUUCCCCCAAAUGUAUGAAACUCAGUUGUGUUAAA